AUUGAACGCUGUCGGCAUGCUUUACACAUGCAAGUCGAACGGCAGCACGGGUGCUUGCACCUGGUGGCGAGUGGCGAACGGGUGAGUAAUGCGUCGGAACGUACCGAGUAGUGGGGGAUAACGCAGCGAAAGUUGUGCUAAUACCGCAUAUUCUGUGAGCAGGAAAGCGGGGGAUCUUCGGACCUCGCGCUAUUCGAGCGGCCGACGUCUGAUUAGCUAGUUGGUGGGGUAAGGGCCUACCAAGGCGACGAUCAGUAGCGGGUCUGAGAGGAUGGUCCGCAACACUGGGACUGAGACACGGUCCAGACUCCUACGGGAGGCAGCAGUGGGGAAUAUUGGACAAUGGGCGAAAGCCUGAUCCAGCCAUGCCGCGUGUGUGAAGAAGGUCUUCGGAUUGUAAAGCGCUUUAAGUUGGGAGGAAGGGCAGUAAGUUAAUACCUUGCUGUUUUGACGUUACCGACAGAAUAAGCACCGGCUAACUUCGUGCCAGCAGCCGCAGUAACAC
rnacentral:rRNA from 1 species